GACGAACGCUGGCGGCGUGCCUAAUACAUGCAAGUCGAACGAAGUGGCGAACGGGUGAGUAAUACGUGGGUAACCUGCCCUCCUUUUUGGGAUAAGCCUUGGAAACGGGGUCUAAUACCGCAUAAAGGGGGAUGGGCUCGCGGCCUAUCAGCUUGUUGGUGGGGUGAUGGCCUACCAAGGCGGUGACGGGUAGCCGGCCUGAGAGGGUGACAGGCCACAGUGGGACUGAGGUACGGGCCAGACUCCUACGGGGGGCAUCGGUGGGAAGUAUUGCACAAUGAGGGAAGCCCUGGAGCAGCAACGCCGCGUUCGGAAUGACGGCCUUCAGGUUGUAAACCGCUUUCAGCCAUGACGCGGUAGUGGCAGAAGAAGCACCGGCUAACUACGUGCCAGCAGCCGCGGUAAUUC
rnacentral:rRNA from 1 species